GACGAACGCUGGCGGCGUGCUUAACACAUGCAAGUCGAACGGAAAGGCCCUGCUUUUGUGGGGUGCUCGAGUGGCGAACGGGUGAGUAACACGUGAGUAACCUGCCCUUGACUUUGGGAUAACUUCAGGAAACUGGGGCUAAUACCGGAUAGGAGCUCCUGCUGCAUGGUGGGGGUUGGAAAGUUUCGGCGGUUGGGGAUGGACUCGCGGCUUAUCAGCUUGUUGGUGGGGUAGUGGCUUACCAAGGCUUUGCCGGGUAGCCGGCCUGGGAGGGUGACCGGCCACAUUGGGACUGAGAUACGGCCCAGCCUCCUACGGGAGGCAGCAGUGGGGAAUAUUGCCCUAUGGGCGGAAGCCUGAUGCAGCAACGCCGCGUGCGGGAUGACGGCCUUCGGGUUGUAAACCGCUUUCGCCUGUGCCGAAGCGUGAGUGACGGUAAUGGGUAAAGAAGCACCGGCUAACUACGUG
rnacentral:rRNA from 1 species